CGGCUCCUUUCCCUACCCAGCUGCCAGGGGCAUCUCUACUCUCUUCUUUCCACACCAGCAACCAAUGAGCUAUCUGGCUGGCUCCAAACAGACCCCAGUCCUGCACGUUUCCCUGCCCCUCCUCACAAACUGGGUUUGGGGCUUAUUGUCUCUUGCUAGUGUCUGUGCAGGUCUGUCCUGUGUUCUGUCUUUAACAUCACUCCUACAGGCUAUGGCCUUUCUGAAAUGUCACCUGGACGCAAAGUGUUCUGCUUCCAAUGUCCAGAUGGCUGGAGGACAGAGGGGUGGGAGACAGACAAUUUGUCUGGUGUUUGUGAGGCUUUGGGUUCCACCCUCAGUGGCUCAGAAAGAAUGAACAAAUAAAACAAAGUGCUCAGGUGAUCUGAAAAUUCAAUUUCUGGGCAUGCACUAGGGGGGGAAAAGCCAGCAGGGCCUCGGACAGAAACUUGCUCAUCCAUAUUCUUAGUGGCAUUGGCCACAGCAGACCAUCAGUGGAGACAGCUAAGUGUCCCCAAAUGGAGUCCACCUAAUGUGUUCACAGCGGGAUGAUGCCUGACUUGAAAAGAACAGGACACAGGCCAGCCAUGGUGGUGCACUCCUUUAAUCCCGACCUCAGAAGGCAGAGGCAGAUCUCCAUCUCUGUGAGUUCGUCUCAAAAACAAACAAACAAACAAAACCCAGAAAACGGAGAGUAUGGGAAGGCACAGCCACAGCGUGAGAUGCCGGGCUGUUGUUCUGAAUAAGGUAACCUUGUUAUCUCAGUCCAAGUCUCUGACCACACUGCUCUGGUGAUACCUGGCAACGAGAAACCAUGGAUAAACACUUGGUGAAUUAAUGAAGUAGGAAUGAAUGUGUGGCUUGCUUACAUCCAGACUCUCCAUGAAGUCUUCCUUGUUUCCAGCCCCGACAACCCCAGUGCACCGAAUCUCUAGGAGGAAGGAGGCUGAGCACAGCAGAGAAGAAAGGUGUGGACCAGGUCCUUCAGCAGCCCUGAGAACUGAAAAGUAUAGAGAGGAAGGCAGACCCUUCAUGAUGGAGACGGACAAGGCUUAUUCCCUGACUGUGUGCAUCUCCUGGAAAUAACUGCAGGAAAGCCAGAGGGAGCCUGUGUCUCUGUGAGUGACCACCAAGCUGUGGAGGCAAGGAAACAUGAGGGGGACAAGGAAAAGCCCACGGUCGCAGAAAGGACAGCUGGAUCUAAGGGAUAUGAGCUGAAAACAGAAGGGGAAGGAAGGGUGGUGUCGCAGAGCUGCUUCGCUCUGGGCUGCAGGGACACAGGAGGAACAAGGCAGGUCUACGUGACCCUUGUCUGUCUAGGGCUACCUCUUACCUGUGCUUCACAUGGCCAAGAGGAGGAAAAUGGACAUACUGGCAUGUUUAACAGGAAAUUGAGAAAGACACCAGAUCAUACAGAGUUGAGAAAACACCAGCCACUUAGCUUGGAAUAAAGACCCGCAAGUAGGAAGGUGGGGUACAAAAGAAGAUUGGGGUGAACCCAGGAGUAGCCCCAUCUCCAGUAGACCUAACCCACAUAUGUUUCCGCCAUACGGUCCCCCAGACCACAGAUGGAGUACUCCAGGCUUCCCAUCCCUGCCUGCUGGCUCUGUUCCUCCAUAGGAGAGUGAACACUGAAAGACAGCAAUGGCUGUCUCUUCCACAGCCUUCCCUGCUGAACCCUCAGGAUAGAUGAAAUUCCGAAGGGAAAGUUAAGGGGUCCCAUCGAGCAUGCCUGCUCAAGGACCCUAGUGUGCUCUGACUUUCCUCCUAACCCAUGCAGGAACGGGCCAUUCUGUAGCCCCCAGGGGGCCUCCACCAGCUCCUCUUCAUGUACCACACUGCCUACAGAAAGGCCCCGUACAAGGGCCGAUGAGAAGCAACCUGAGGGAGCUGUAAAUGUGGAAGAAGCCUGUGGAAGCCUCAAGGAAAUAGUGGCCUGGGGGCACAUCAAAGCCAGGGAGGGUACUGAAACUCCUCUGCCUCUGAACAACUCUCCAACAUGAAACAUUUCAACGUUUUCACAGAGGACUUGGGGUAGAAGUUUUGCUUCCUUAUACCCUUUCUCUGCUAAGGGAAGUCUACACAGGCCUGGUUCUGGGGACCCUUGAAAGCCAGGUCCAGCACCCCCUACCCCCCUAUCUCCAUUUUGCUGACUAUUUAGGGACUUUCCUAGUUGCUAUGAGUCUAGCCUGUCUUGGAUAUAGCCAGCUCUACAGACUGCUGAACAGCUGUGCCUACCCCUCUCCGCCCCCCCCACCCCCCCAGUCCUUCCCUCCAUUCCUGUCCUGGGCCUGCAACAAGGAUACUUUACAUGUAGAUCAAGAGUCUUUUCUCACUCCUCUUAGAUCACUGGGCAGGAAUGGUGGCAUUUGCUGCCUCUGCACAUGGUGGUAACUGGAUCAGCAGAGAGCCCCCCCCACAUCUUCCUACAAGGCCUGCGCCAUCCUGAAAUAGCCUGAAUGUAUGUAUGGUAUCUCCUGGAACAGAAGAAGCCAGCAUUUAAACAUCCUUGGUAUCUUGUUUAUGCUUGGUAGUUACCAACAAGGCAGGUGGGCUCUGGAGAGCCUCAUUCCUUACGAGGGCUCCCGGAUCAACAGCACACAUAGCUUCCGAGACUAGGGGCUGAGGUCAGCACCCACAUAGGCUGCUGCUGCUUGAUGGAUGUCCUUCACACAGCUGAGGUCUGCAGUCACAGGCUGGGCCCAGCUCCAGGACCCUAACCCUAGCCAUUUCCUUUUAUAGUAAGAAAAAAAUGAACCCAGAAAAAUGGUAGGGGCUGCAUGGGCAGACAAGGACCCAGGCGGACUAGGCACCCAGAUAGUCACAAGGGGAAACUAUGAAUCCUUGAGACUGAAUUCUGAAGAGGAAAUCAGGCAGAGUAAAACUCCCACAGGCUUACUGGCCACCCAGCCAGAGGACAGUCCAUUGCCUUCAUCUUCUGUAGUAGUGGCUGCCUGUGCAUUAUGGGAUAUUAUCAAAUGAUGGCAGUGCGCUAGUCACCCACAGGUAGAAUAUGCAUGCCCAUCUAUCCAAUAAGAAGUAAAAAUUAAAUGAUAACUUUAAAUUAUUUCAGUGAAGAAUGCUUUUGAUAUGUUAAAAAAAACUAACUGUGUGUGUGUGUGUGUGUGGUAAAUGCUUGCAGCAAAAUCUUAAGUAAAAACCAAUAUAAAAUUGUGUGUUGUAUUAUAACAAAAAUUUAAAAUUAGGACUAGUGAGGAGGUUCAGUGGGUAAAAAUGCUUUCUGCCAAACCUGACUAACUGAAUUCAACCUCAGACUCCAUGGUGGAAAGAGAAAAUCCAAUUACAACACGCUUGCGUGCGCGCGCGCACACACACACACACUCACACACACACAGACACACACUCACACACACUCACACAUACACACGCAAGUACACAAAUAUGCACACACACAUACAAACACAUAUAUAUGAAACUAUUCUUGAAAAUAUUUACGAAGGAAACAAGCUAAAAUUAUUAGAAAUGGUUAUCUCAAAGUAGUGAAAAAGAGGUUUUUUGUUUGUUUUUCCAUGCUGGGAUCAAACCUGGAGCCUAGCACAUUCUAGGCAAAUGCCCUACUGUGAAACUGUAAACCCACAGUGAGGGUUUUUAUGAAUGUUGUUUUUUUUUUUUUUUUCCUGUACUUGGCUGGUUUUUUACAAAAUUCUAAAGAGCUCUGUAAGUAGAGGGGGAAAAAUAGAUUAAGCAAAGGAAUAAUGGUGAAUUUAAAACAAGCACACUCUCUGAAGCCUCUCCAGGCACUGCUGUCCGUUGUCCCCAGGGUAAAGUCACUUCCAGCUGAAUUUGCUGCUUUUGAGGGGUGGACUUUACCUGAUGGCAUGGCAGGGGACAUCCUGUGCUGAUAAGAUGCCUGUGAUUGCAGGCAUCAGGAGGUCUGCAUCCUGGGACCUCUGUGGCAACCUCUACCCUUUCUACUCACUGCUAGCUGGAGACACAGAGCCUGUGUCCACACACACGUGCCUUUGCUGCCCAGGCCUAGGUUAAUGUUCAGUGAAACUCGCUAAGCCUCACAAAACCCUAACAGGCACUGGGUCCAUCCAGACUGACGCCUACCCAGAAAGCCAAGUGUUCCCUCUCACGAAAAACCCAAGUCUUCAGAGGAUUCUGGCAUAGACCAGAGUCCUUAGAGAUCUAAUGAAGCUCACAGCUCAAGAGAGAGAAUUGGGGGGGGGGGGGGGGAGACAGGGAAAACCUGUAGAGGACAGAGGUCGAAGAACAAAGAGGGUGGGCUGAGGGGCUGCAUGACUGUUAGGGACAGGGUGAGAAGAUUCCAAAGCUGGUGGAGAGAGGAAGAGAUAAGAAGGGUCAAGAUAAGAUAGCCCUUGUUUGUUCUCCAGGCAGGUUUGGAGGCUGGGGAACAGUGAAGUUUUAGCUUUCCCCUCCACGUUGUCUUCCAGGGUAAUCUCUGCUCAGCAGAAAGAUCCAGAGCCACCAAGCCACCAUUUUCCUUCAUUCAGAUUCCCAGACUACCCUUCAGCAAAAAGCAGAAGACUCUUGUGUCAUGGAUAGCCCCUGAUGGCAUCUUUAGCCAAAGCAGGGGGUUGGAGGGGUUGUCUGUGAUGUAGAGAGCACACCAGUCACCAGUCACUCAUGUCUACUUCUUCCUACCCACCUGAGGUUGGUAGGGGUGGGGACCGGGGGUAGCUGUGUCAGACCUAGAUGACACUCUCCCUUGGAUGGGUUACACUGAAAAGACCUAAACCUAAGAGAUCCUUGUGGAAACAGUGGACUACUGAGGAAGUCGGGGUCUUCCCAGAAGUCAUUAGAGACUCGGGAAACCAUCUCCUCCGGAAGGGAGGAGCAGAGCCCAGAGAGGCCAGGGCGGUGCUGGAUCCAGGCACAGCCACAGAGACCAGCAGGUUCAGUGCGAGCGUGCUGCCAUCGUGUGGAGGUCUGACCCAGAAGGUCCCCAAGGGUCUUGGGACACCCCCUGUGCCCCCAGUGAGAACCUCACAGGCCAUGGUACCUCUGCCCCUAGACCACAGGCCUAAAUGGGCCCAGAAGGUUUUGGCAGUGUGACUUGGCUGGGUUAUGGCAUUCUGGGGCCUCAUACUUUCCAGGAUAGAUGGGCGGGCGGGUGGUUUGAACAAGCAAACCUAAUCCUAGAGCCUGUCAAGAGAGAUUGACAGCCCAGGAAGGGGCAGCCAGGCUGGAGCCAGACAGGGCCAGAUCCCUAAACUGGCUGCUCCAACUUGGGGCUGAGGGAUUAACCCUGCCCAGUCCUUUCGAAAGGGUGGACACCAGGAUUCUUUGGAUACUCACCAGAAAGGCCCACUUCUCCCCUCAUUACCGUUUGCCUCCUAGGUCCCUAUCCCUGCCCAUCUUGUGUCCCAGGGGCACCCAAAACAGCAGAGAGUAGCACUGAUCCCGGUCCCAGCCCCAGCCCCAGCCCCAGCCCCAUCUUGCAUGUUCGGAGCUUCUUCCCAUGAAACAGAUGGGAACCAUGCUCCCUCUUGACCCCGCCUUCUUCCAUCAGGGCACUCCCAUCCCUCCGGGUAGACAGAGGUAGGCAGUGCAGCCCCUCUUUCUUUCUUUCUUUCUUUCUUUCUUUCUUUCUUUCUUUCUUUCUUUCUUUCUUUCUUUCUCUCUCUCUCUCUCUCUCUCUCUCUCUCUCUCUCUCUCUUUCUCUCUUUCUUUCCUUCCUUUUUUUCUUUCUUCCUUUUUUUAAAAGAUAUAUCUAUAUAUUUUAUGUAUAUGAGUACACUGUAGCUGUCUUCAGACACACCAGAAGAAGGCAUUGGAUUCCAUUACAGAUGGUUGUGAGCCAUCAUGUGGUUGCUGGGAAUUGAACUCAGGACCUCUGGAAGAGCAGUCAGUGUUCUUAACCACUGAGCUAUCUCUCCAGCCCACAGCCCCUCUUUCAAGCAUGCAUCAGUCCAUCAAAACCAAUAUUAAACGCCAGGCAGUGGUGGUGCACGUCUUUAAUCCCAGCACUCGGGAGGCAGAGGCAGGCGGAUUUCUGAGUUUGAGACCAGCCUGGUCUACAAAGUGAGUUCCAGGACAGCCAGG
rnacentral:lncRNA from 1 species